rnacentral:rRNA from 1 species
AGUGGCGAACGGGUGAGUAAUGCAUCGGAACGUGCCCAGUCGUGGGGGAUAACUACUCGAAAGAGUAGCUAAUACCGCAUACGAUCUAUGGAUGAAAGCGGGGGACCGUAAGGCCUCGCGCGAUUGGAGCGGCCGAUGUCAGAUUAGGUAGUUGGUGGGGUAAAGGCUCACCAAGCCAACGAUCUGUAGCUGGUCUGAGAGGACGACCAGCCACACUGGGACUGAGACACGGCCCAGACUCCUACGGGAGGCAGCAGUGGGGAAUUUUGGACAAUGGGCGCAAGCCUGAUCCAGCAAUGCCGCGUGCAGGAAGAAGGCCUUCGGGUUGUAAACUGCUUUUGUACGGAACGAAACGGCUCUGGUUAAUACCUGGGGCUAAUGACGGUACCGUAAGA